rnacentral:rRNA from 1 species
AUACGGAGGGUGCAAGCGUUACUCGGAAUCACUGGGCGUAAAGCGCGCGCAGGCGGCUAUUUAAGUUGGAUGUGAAAGCCUACGGCUCAACCGUAGAACUGCAUCCAAAACUAUUUAGCUAGAGUGUGGGAGAGGAAGAUGGAAUUAGUUGUGUAGGGGUAAAAUCCGUAGAGAUAACUAGGAAUACCAAAAGCGAAGGCAAUCUUCUGGAACACUACUGACGCUGAGGCGCGAAAGCGUGGGGAGCAAACAGGAUGAGAAACCCUAGUAGUCC